CUCGCACAUAGCUGGGUCCAAAUCAACAUGCAAAGAAGCAUCCAAUGCAUAUCAUGCAUUUUAUCAUAUUGUGAUAACACAUAAACCAUUGUAUAACACAUUUUCAUAAUAUAAAAUCAUUUUACUAAAAGCUUGUUCCCAAGGUACAUUUUCUAAGACAAGUUGGAUAGAAUCUUUCAUAUUCCCCAAAACAAGUUUGAAAUGCAAGUCCACUCAUCGGUAUUAGGAGUAGAAAUACUCUUAUUUUCAGUCCGCGAGUACAGUCCUUUACCCGUAUCCAAUGGCUCACCACCUAGCCAUAAUCCAUGACACAUAUUCUAAUUAAAUUGUGUCUAACAGUCAUAAGCUAUUUCAGGCUCGAUAUAUAUAUGAUAUGAAAUGAAAAAUGUACGGGUAGCCAUCUAGAUCCACUAUUGGCCUAAGUCGAUUUUUCAUCCGAUAAAUUAGCCAAUGCAUCCAAUUUCACUCCAAAUUAAUCCAUUUCUCCUAUAAUACCUUAAUUUAGCACAUACCAUUUAAAUAAAGCCAAAUUCAGCAUUAGAACCCUCACAAUUCCUUAUAGAAAAAUUCGAUCAUUUGGUGCACUAGUACCGAAAAGUUUUUACAUAACCGUUUCACCUUAAUUCAUCAUUUUCCAAGCCAUUUUCCUUGAAAUAUAAACAAUCCCCCAUUGAUAUUCAGCCCUCAUGGUUCGACCAACAAGGAACCCUAGAGAAAUUGAAUAUUUCUUUUGUGUUUUUGUUCAUAACCAUGCUUAACUAUCCCUAAACACUAACAUAGUCUAAAAUCAAAUUAUUCCAACAACAAUUCCUCUUCCAUACCCAUUUUUCAGAAUUGAAUUCAUCAUGAUAACUCAAUAUUCAACCAUGAAAAUCAAGAACAAAAGCAUGGGUAAGCUAGGUAUCAAGGAGAAUUAAAGAAAUUCUAACUUACCUAACUNUAUCAAGGAGAAUUAAAGAAAUUCUAACUUACCUAGCUUGUUUCCUUGA
rnacentral:lncRNA from 1 species